AACACAAUAGUAAUACAAAUAAAACUAUUUCCGGUACUUAAAAACCUCUAUUUACACAUGCAAAAAGGAGUAGGCAGAUGUAAAACUUAUAUACUCCUACC